GUCAUAGAGGAUUAGUGCUGAAAUGUGUCAUGGAGAGGGCUCUGUCCUCUCCCUUUUAAGUUGAAAGCAGUUUGGUUUUUUGUUUUGUUUUAACAUUCUGAAAGAGAAAGAGGCUCUGAACCGAGUUUAACAUCCUUCUGUACAAAAAUUUUCCGACAGGACAAAUAAACUACUCUUCCACUGAACUGUGACUUUUGAGCUGACUCUAGGGUGCACCCAACCUUCCAGAGGUGUCUGGCUUAACCCUCAAAGAGGCAGCUCCAGCCCCAGGAGCCGACCGGCACCACAGCACCUGAGCAGGGCACUUUAGGAAGGAAAGCGGAAUCUCUAGUGAAACUUCUCAUUUCCUGUCGCUGCUGAGAGAGGCUGGACUCGCUCCUUCUCACAUGGUUUAGGAAGAGCUGUAAACGGGAGCUUGCCGGCUGGCCACCAGCUCAGGGGCCCUGGGGGCGGCCUCCGGGUUCUGCUCCCUGUUCUUCCCUUUGACCAAUGUCACUCCUGGACAGAUAACGGGACCAAACGCCCUUCACUUCCUCGAGUCCUCAUGUAUGUCAUGGUUCCUCUUUCAGGAAAACAUGAGUACAAGACGCAAAGCAAAAGAAGAGACUAAAGGCAAAUUACCCCAUCACCUCGUUUCGUCCCUCCCCUUCGUUAUUAUAGAAGAGCUUGAUCAAAUUCCCUUUGUCGCGCCACACACACGCAGAGUAGGUGAAGGGCACCCUAAGACAACUUCUUUCCCGCCUGACAGAAAGCCUUUACGAAAUCCUCACACCAUCUCCGGACGCAAAGCUUUCGCAUUCAGCUUGAGGAGCUAAACCAUUUCAAGCCAAGACUGACAUAAGAUUGUGAAAUGCUGUGCUUUAGAAAACGUG